UUGAUCCUGGCUCAGAUUGAACGCUGGCGGCAGGCCUAACACAUGCAAGUCGAGCGGUAACAGGGGAAGCUUGCUUCCCGCUGACGAGCGGCGGACGGGUGAGUAAUGUAUGGGGAUCUGCCCGAUAGAGGGGGAUAACCACUGGAAACGGUGGCUAAUACCGCAUAAUCUCUUAGGAGCAAAGCAGGGGAACUUCGGUCCUUGCGCUAUCGGAUGAACCCAUAUGGGAUUAGCUAGUAGGUGGGGUAAUGGCUCACCUAGGCGACGAUCCCUAGCUGGUCUGAGAGGAUGAUCAGCCACACUGGGACUGAGACACGGCCCAGACUCCUACGGGAGGCAGCAGUGGGGAAUAUUGCACAAUGGGCGCAAGCCUGAUGCAGCCAUGCCGCGUGUAUGAAGAAGGCCCUAGGGUUGUAAAGUACUUUCAGUCGGGAGGAAGGCGUUGAUGCUAAUAUCAUCAACGAUUGACGUUACCGACAGAAGAAGCACCGGCUAACUCCGUGCCAGCAGCCGCGGCAAUACGGAGGGUGCAAGCGUUAAUCGGAAUUACUGGGCGUAAAGCGCACGCAGGCGGUUGAUUAAGUUAGAUGUGAAAUCCCCGGGCUUAACCUGGGAAUGGCAUCUAAGACUGGUCAGCUAGAGUCUUGUAGAGGGGGGUAGAAUUCCAUGUGUAGCGGUGAAAUGCGUAGAGAUGUGGAGGAAUACCGGUGGCGAAGGCGGCC
rnacentral:rRNA from 1 species